rnacentral:rRNA from 1 species
GUCUACGGCCAUACCACGUUGAAAGCACCAGUUCUUGUCCGAUCACUGAAGUUAAGCAACGUCGGGCUCGGUUAGUACUUGGAUGGGUGACCGCCUGGGAACACCGAGUGCUGUAGACUCCU